rnacentral:rRNA from 1 species
UACGGAGGAUCCGAGCGUUAUCCGGAUUUAUUGGGUUUAAAGGGAGCGUAGGCGGACGCUUAAGUCAGUUGUGAAAGUUUGCGGCUCAACCGUAAAAUUGCAGUUGAUACUGGGUGUCUUGAGUGCAGCAGAGGUAGGCGGAAUUCGUGGUGUAGCGGUGAAAUGCUUAGAUAUCACGAAGAACUCCGAUUGCGAAGGCAGCUUACUGGACUGUAACUGACGCUGAUGCUCGAAAGUGUGGGUAUCAAACAGG